AUACGGAGGGGGCUAGCGUUGUUCGGAAUUACUGGGCGUAAAGCGCGUGUAGGCGGAUCGUUAAGUCAGGGGGGAAAGCCCGGGGCUCAACCCCGGAACUGCCCUUGAUACUGGCGAUCUAGAGUCCGGAAGAGGUGGGCGGAAUUCCCGGUGUAGAGGUGAAAUUCGUAGAUAUCGGGAGGAACACCAGUGGCGAAGGCGGCUCACUGGUCCGGUACUGACGCUGAGACGCGAAAGCGUGGGGAGCAAACAGGAUUAGAAACCCUAGUAGUCC
rnacentral:rRNA from 1 species